UUGACCGUGCAAAGGUAGCAUAAUCAAUUGUCUUUUAAUUGAAGGCUGGAAUGAAAGGUUGGAUGAGAUAUAAACUAUUUUUAUUUUAUGAAUAAUGAAUUUUAAUUUUAAGUAAAAAUGCUUAAAUAAAUAAAUUAGACGAGAAGACCCUAUAAAUCUUUAUUUUUUUUAAAAAAAUAAAUAAAUUUAUAAAAAUUUUUGUUAUUUUUUUUAAAGAAUUUAAUUGGGGUGAUUAUUAAAUUUAAUAAACUUUUAUUAAUUUUUACAACUUAUGUUUGAUUAUAAUGAUCCAUUAUUAAUGAUUAAAAGUUUAAGUUACUUUAGGGAUAACAGCGUAAUUAUUUUGAAGAGUUCUUAUCGAUAAAAUAGAUUGCGACCUCGAUGUUGAAUUAAGAUAAAUUGUACAAUGUAGAAGUA
rnacentral:rRNA from 1 species